GUCUACAGCCAUGCCACCCUGAACACGCCUGAUCUCGUCUGAUCUCGGAAGCUAAGCAGGGUCAGGCCUGCUUAGUACUUGGAUGGGAGACCACCUAGGAAGACCGGGGGCUGUAGGCG
rnacentral:rRNA from 1 species